rnacentral:lncRNA from 1 species
ACCAUGGGUCUGAAGAAGCUUUAUGGUUCCGCGGUCGUCGUGGCUGGAUUCCCCACUUCCCCCCCCAUGGAAGGUGGCCAUUCCCGUGGGCUCAUCCUCCUGUCCCGUCUCAUGGCUCCGACGUAAAUUCAUACACAGAGGACGAACGAGAUUCCCAGGAAGCUCUCUGGUUACCUCGCGGUCGCUGGUUCCCUCACUUUCCCCGCCGUGGAAGGUGGCCAUUCCCGUGGGCUCAUCCUCCUGUCCCGUCUCAUGGCUCCGACGUAAAUUCAUACACAGAGGACGAACGAGAUUCGCAGGAAGCUCUCUGGUCACCUCGCGGUCGCUGGCUCCCUCACUUCCCCCGCCGUGGAAGGUGGCCAUUCCCGUGGGCUCAUCCUCCCGUUCCAUCUCAUGGCUCCGACGUAAAUUCAUACGCAGAGGACGAACGAGAUUCCCAGGAAGCUCUCUGGUUCCGCGGUCGUCGUGGCUGGAUUCCCCACUUCCCCCCCCCAUGGAAGGUGGCCAUUCCCGUGGGCUCAUCCUCCUCACCCAGCUCACAACUGAUGGGAAGAAGAUGAUCAGAAGAGAGAGAGUCUGAGAUAUAAUUAUUAAACUUUUAGUUUUUAAUAAAGUUAUUGUGUUAGUCUUACUGCACAACGACACCCGAGUUAAUAAAAAUUAUCUUAAUUGUGUAAUUCUUUUGCACAAUCAUAAAUAAAUAAGCUAUUUUUAUUAUUU